AACUAAUCCUGCAUCCCAGGUAUACAUCCCACUUGCUCGUGGUGAAUAAUUUUUUUCAUGUAUUGUUGGAUCCGAUUGGCUGAUAUCUUGUUGAGGAUCCAUUGGGGAAAAAUG